GAAAGCAUUAAGUAUUCCACCUGGGGAGUACGCCGGCAACGGUGAAACUCAAAGGAAUUGACGGGGGCCCGCACAAGCGGAGGAACAUGUGGUUUAAUUCGAUGAUACGCGAGGAACCUUACCCGGGCUUAAAUUGCACUGGACAGGCCAAGAGAUUGGCUUUUCUUCGGACCAGUGUGAAGGUGCUGCAUGGUUGUCGUCAGCUCGUGCCGUGAGGUGUCGGCUUAAGUGCCAUAACGAGCGCAACCCUUGCCGUUAGUUACUAACAGGUCAUGCUGAGGACUCUAGCGGGACUGCCAUCGUAAGAUGUGAGGAAGGUGGGGAUGACGUCAAAUCAGCACGGCCCUUACGUCCGGGGCUACACACGUGUUACAAUGGGAGGUACAGAAGGCUGCUACCCGGCGACGGGAUGCCAAUCCCCAAAACCUCUCUCAGUUCGGAUUGGAGUCUGCAACCCGACUCCAUGAAGCUGGAUUCGCUAGU
rnacentral:rRNA from 1 species